UAGUUUUGAUUUACACUUCCCUAAUGAUUGUGUCCAGCAGCUUUUCAUGUGCGAACUGGCCAUUUGUUAGUGGGUUUUGCUUCUUUUAAAAACUGCUGAGCCAUCCAUAAACAUUUUCAAAAUGCAGGGUAUGUUUUUCAGUGUUAAGGCAACUGUUUUGAUGUGUUUUCCUUUGCUCUCUAUCACCAAAUACUGUACAUACAAAUAGUAAGACUGGGCUUUGUGUUGUCCAUUGUUAAUCCUAAAUGCAACAAAACACAUGGAGACUUUGAAAAUCCUUCAGAAUAAUGCUAUAGUUAAGAUUUUGCUAAAGCAAGUGUUUUUUCUAACUCCUUGAGCUGCAUAUUGCCUUGAGUAAUCAUCAUCCGAAUUGUAUCCUCUUCGGUGGCACUUUUGUUUCUUUUGAAUUCUUCCCUUGCCCAAUCCUUCAGGUAUUUGCGAUCAGAAUCAUUUGGAACUUGCUGAAUUGUUUGGAAAAUCCUUCUGUAGAGGAGAAGAACUUGUUGCCUUCUGAUGAACUGCUUUAACAUUAGUGUUGCUGGGCUGUGCCUCGGUGCCUUGGGUUUCCUACAGGGUGAGUGCCCCAGAAGGAACACAGAAAGCUGGGCUGCCGCUUCAUCACGGCUUUCUCGGAAAACGGGGGCGCUGAGAAGCCCAACUUCCAGCUAUAUAUGUCGCCACCGCCCACAGGGCCCCCGACGGCGAUGCUGGUGACAGCGCUCCCUGCGUGGGCGCCACUCUCCCCGUGCUCCCCGCGCCUGCAGCCAGGCACGACGGUGUGGGUGUGCCCGCCCGGGGCAGAGGAGCUGCAGGGCUCGCGGCAGGCGGCGCUGUGCAAGCAGCGACGUCGCGGCCCGAGGAAGUGGAGGCGGUGAACGCGCGUGGGCGCGCC
rnacentral:lncRNA from 1 species